rnacentral:rRNA from 1 species
GCUCAGGACGAACGCUGGCGGCGUGCUUAACACAUGCAAGUCGAACGAUGAAGCCGCUUCGGUGGUGGAUUAGUGGCGAACGGGUGAGUAACACGUGGGCAAUCUGCCCUUCACUCUGGGACAAGCCCUGGAAACGGGGUCUAAUACCGGAUAACACUCCUGCCUGCAUGGGUGGGGGUUGAAAGCUCCGGCGGUGAAGGAUGAGCCCGCGGCCUAUCAGCUUGUUGGUGGGGUAAUGGCCUACCAAGGCGACGACGGGUAGCCGGCCUGAGAGGGCGACCGGCCACACUGGGACUGAGACACGGCCCAGACUCCUACGGGAGGCAGCAGUGGGGAAUAUUGCACAAUGGGCGAAAGCCUGAUGCAGCGACGCCGCGUGAGGGAUGACGGCCUUCGGGUUGUAAACCUCUUUCAGCAGGGAAGAAGCGCAAGUGACGGUACCUGCAGAAGAAGCGCCGGCUAACUACGUGCCAGCAGCCGCGGUAAUACGUAGGGCGCAAGCGUUGUCCGGAAUUAUUGGGCGUAAAGAGCUCGUAGGCGGCUUGUCACGUCGGAUGUGAAAGCCCGGGGCUUAACCCCGGGUCUGCAUUCGAUACGGGCUAGCUAGAGUGUGGUAGGGGAGAUCGGAAUUCCUGGUGUAGCGGUGAAAUGCGCAGAUAUCAGGAGGAACACCGGUGGCGAAGGCGGAUCUCUGGGCCAUUACUGACGCUGAGGAGCGAAAGCGUGGGGAGCGAACAGGAUUAGAUACCCUGGUAGUCCACGCCGUAAACGUUGGGAACUA